rnacentral:lncRNA from 1 species
GAAAAAUUACAAAAAAAUUUAAAAUUUUUGUACAUUCUAUGCAAAAGAAUUUAGAAAAGAUAAUGGGCUUAGGUAAGUGUUACUGAAGAGUACACCAGUAAGGCUAUAGUAGUACAAGUUUACUAUAGAGUUGUAUUUGACUACUGGAGGUCUUUGCUCCUGGUUGUGGUGCUAAAUAAAAUGCCAAGGGGUUUUCAGCAUGGCUCUUGAAACGGAAGUUGAAUUUUCUUCCUUGCAAUAAAUAAAUUUUUCUUUUUUUUUUUCCAAUUUUAUUGAGAGAAGAAAUCCAGGAAAAAUCCAAUCAGCUGUGACUUUGGUUUACAGCUUUCUCCACCAUAUUUCUUUUUUUUUUUUCCCAAGUUGUAUUAUUACUUUUUUAGUUUUUAUGUAUAAAAUGAUCCUCCACAUUCUCUUAUGGGACACUGUCUGGGCUUUCCUCCUCUCCAGUUGUUCAUGCUUAAUUUGCAAAAUUUAAAUAACUGCUAUUAUAACAUAUAAGCUAAUGAUUUUCCUUAACCAUUUUCUUCCAUCCUCUAGAUGUAUCUGGAAUAUUGCAUGGUACAGAAAGUUAAUUUUUAAAUGAAUGAGCUGGGCUGGACUAUAUAAAUUCCUUAACUACUUGGAUAUCAGCUGGAGGAAAAAUCAUGUCAGGUCAUCACUGGAAACUGCUGGCACAGCUCUGAUUUUCAGGAACUUUCAGUCCUCUUAAAUGUCCUCAUUUUAUGGGAAAAUCAGAGACAUUAACUUCCAGGAAGAAGGAAGUGUUCUAGCUAAAUACGGUUUCCAGGGACCAAAACUGCCUUCAACUUCAAUGGUUUCUACUUACUUUUAUUUAACAUCUGUGGCUUCUCUUGUCAGUGAACAUUUGAGACAGCUCUGAACUGUGUUGUUAAAUAAUUUCAAGUUAAUAAUAAUAAUAGCAAUAAUAAUAAUAACAACAGGUUUUUUUUUUAAAUUAUAUGACCUGGACAUUUAAACUCAUUCUCCUUUGUCCCCUAUGGUCUUAAUAGAUAAGGCUGUGAAGAUAGAAAUAUCUUCAUGCUAGGGAAAACCAUCCUAUCAGCUUCUAAUUUGUCAUCUGUCUUUAAAGACAAAAAUAUUACAUAUUGUAAUAGAUAACCAAUCAUAAAACUGUACCAUUGCAUUAUGAAGGGAAUUG